GCUUACGGCCACACCGGCCUGAGUACGCCUGAUUCUCGUCCGAUCUCGGAAGCUAAGCAGGGUCGGGCCUGGUUAGUACUGGAUGGGAGACCGCCUGGGAAAUACCAGGUGCUGUAAGCU
rnacentral:rRNA from 1 species